CAAGUUUCCUAUAAACGAAUCAGCAGAGAGACCAGCGAGUCAAACUGAUAUUACAGGGUCAGAAGCAGAAGGGUCCAAGAAGUUGAGAAUAUUCAUUGUGUUUUAUUCAAUGUAUGGACAUGUUGAAACAUUAGCAAGAAGGAUGAAAAAGGGGGUUGAUGGGAUUGAAGGUGUUGAAGGGGUUUUGUAUAUGGUUCCUGAAAUUUUGGCACCAGAUGUUUUGGAACAAAUGAAAGUUCCCCCAAAAAAUGAUGACAUUCCAGUAAUAUCUGUGGAUGAACUGAUUGAAGCUGAUGGAUUCUUGUUUGGAUUUCCUACAAGAUAUGGAUGUAUGGCAGCUCAAAUGAAGGCAUUUUUUG
rnacentral:misc_RNA from 1 species